CCUACGGGAGGCAGCAGUGGGGAAUUUUGGACAAUGGGCGCAAGCCUGAUCCAGCAAUGCCGCGUGCAGGAUGAAGGCCUUCGGGUUGUAAACUGCUUUUGUACGGAACGAAACGGUCUGCUUUAAUACAGUGGGCUAAUGACGGUACCGUAAGAAUAAGCACCGGCUAACUACGUGCCAGCAGCCGCGGUAAUACGUAGGGUGCGAGCGUUAAUCGGAAUUACUGGGCGUAAAGCGUGCGCAGGCGGUUAUAUAAGACAGAUGUGAAAUCCCCGGGCUCAACCUGGGACCUGCAUUUGUGACUGUAUAGCUAGAGUACGGUAGAGGGGGAUGGAAUUCCGCGUGUAGCAGUGAAAUGCGUAGAUAUGCGGAGGAACACCGAUGGCGAAGGCAAUCCCCUGGACCUGUACUGACGCUCAUGCACGAAAGCGUGGGGAGCAAACAGGAUUAGAUACCCUGGUAGUCCCACGACCUAACGACUAGUCACUAGUUGUUGGUUCGUUCUACUACGUACUACUACGUAACGUAACG
rnacentral:rRNA from 1 species